rnacentral:rRNA from 1 species
AUGAUCCGUGCGGCGGCGGUCAUGAGUGAAGGCUCCGAAGGGGAGGAGGUCUUCAUCGACGACGAUGACAUCAUCAAUGAGAUACCCCUGGACGAGGAAGAUCUCCCCGACCAAGACGAUGAUGACGAGCAGGACCAAGACAUGAUGGAUGAGGUUGAGGAUCAUUCAGCAUAUGCAUUUCAUGGGCAUACAGAUGAGGUAUUUGCUGCUGCGUGCAGUCCUGUAGAUGCAUCACUUGUUGUUUCUGGAGGUAAAGAUGACAGAGGGUUUCUUUGGAGGAUUGGAUCUGCAGAGGAUGUUCAAGAGCUGCCUGGACAUAACGAUACUGUCAGCACUGUGGCUUUCAGUUCAGAUGGGAAAUUAGUGGCUUGUGGAAGUAUGGAUGGACAGAUAAAUGUAUGGAAUACAGCUACACGAACACUUCAGGGAACCCUUGAGGGCUCUGAAUCAGGCUUUGAGUGGCUUAAAUGGGAUCUGCGAAGUCACGUUAUAAUUGCUGGAUCAGAGGACUUCAACAUAUGGAUGUGGAAUGCGGACACCAAUGCCUUUGUGAAUACAUUUGCUGGCCACAGUAACACAGUGACAUGUGGCGAUUUUACACCUGAUGGUACGCUUAUUUGUAGCGGAUCAGAUGAUGCAACACUAAGGAUAUGGGACCUUGAAAGCGCACACUGCAGACAUGUUGUUGGAGGUCAUGGUUAUCAUACUCAAGGACUGACAUGUUUAGCUAUAACAUGGGACUCCCAAUCAGUUGUUAGUGGCUCUCAGGAUAGUUCUGUGCACAUCGUGAGCAUAAAAUCAGGCCAGGUUGUCGGUUCAUUAGUUGGCCACACUAAUUCCGUCGAGUGCAUUGGCAUCUCACCGAGGUACAACUGGGUGGCCACAGGGAGCAUUGAUGAUACUCUCAUCAUCUGGGACCUCACUCACCAAGCAAUUCGAUCCAUUUGCGAGCAUGAUGACGGCGUGACUUGCCUGGCGUGGAUAGGUUCGUCGAGGUAUGUAGCGUCAGGAUGCGUCGACGGCACGGUGCGUAUCUGGGACAGCCUCUCCGGGGAGCUGGCUCGCAGACUGAGCGGGCACCGUGAUGCCGUGCAGUCGCUGGCCGUCUCCGCUGAUUGCAACUCCAUUGUCUCGGUCUCCUCGGAUAACUCUGCCCGCGUCUUUGACAUAUCCAUGUUCAAGUGA